GGCCUCAGCGAAACCAACUGGUUCCCACCCCAGCCUUGGCCAAUGUUUCAGCUGCCCGGAGUCCAGACGUGCGCUGGGGCGCUCGCGGGCGCUUUCCUUCUGCUACUACUCGUGCUGGUGGUCCGCCAGCUCCUGAGGCAGAGACGUCCAGCGGGCUUCCCCCCGGGUCCUCCGCGGCUGCCAUUCAUCGGCAACAUCUGCUCCCUGGCCCUGUCGGCCGAUCUUCCCCACGUCUACAUGAGGAAGCAGAGCCGGGUGUUUGGCGAGAUUUUCAGUUUAGAUCUUGGAGGCAUAUCAACUGUGGUUCUCAAUGGCUAUGAUGUAGUAAAGGAAUGCCUUGUUCAUCAAAGUGAAAUUUUUGCAGAUAGACCAUGCCUUCCUUUGUUCAUGAAGAUGACAAAAAUGGGAGGCUUACUCAAUUCCAGAUAUGGCAGAGGAUGGAUUGAUCACAGAAGAUUGGCUGUUAACAGCUUUCAUUAUUUUGGAAGUGGCCAAAAAUCUUUUGAAUCUAAAAUCUUAGAAGAAACUUGGUCUUUAAUUGAUGCUAUUGAAACAUACAAAGGUAGACCUUUUGACCUCAAGCAACUGAUAACAAAUGCUGUUUCAAACAUAACUAACCUUAUCCUUUUUGGAGAACGAUUCACUUAUGAAGACACUGAUUUUCAGCACAUGAUUGAGUUAUUCAGUGAGAAUGUCGAACUAGCUGCCAGUGCUCCGGUCUUCCUUUACAAUGCAUUUCCAUGGAUUGGCAUCUUACCUUUCGGAAAACAUCAAAGGCUAUUUAGAAAUGCAGAUGUGGUCUAUGAUUUCCUCUCCAAACUUAUUGAAAAAGCUGCAGUAAAUAGAAAGCCUCAUUUGCCUCAGAAUUUUGUUGAUGCCUAUUUAGAUGAGAUGGAUAAAGGUCAAAAUGAUCCUUUAUCUACGUUCUCCAAAGAGAAUCUAAUUUUCUCAGUGGGUGAACUCAUCAUUGCUGGAACUGAAACUACAACCAAUGUGCUCCGCUGGGCAGUUCUGUUCAUGGCCCUUUAUCCUAAUAUUCAAGGACAAGUUCAUAAAGAGAUUGAUUUAAUUAUGGGACACGACAGGAGGCCUUCUUGGGAAGACAAAUGCAAAAUGCCUUAUACUGAAGCAGUUUUGCAUGAAGUUUUAAGAUUCUGUAAUAUAGUUCCACUGGGGAUUUUCCAUGCAACUUCUGAAGAUGCAGUUGUACGUGGCUAUUCCAUUCCUAAAGGCACAACAGUCAUUACAAAUCUUUAUUCUGUUCACUUUGAUGAAAAGUACUGGAAAGACCCAGACAUGUUCUAUCCUGAGCGAUUUCUGGACAGCAGUGGAUAUUUUACUAAAAAGGAAGCUUUGAUUCCUUUUUCUCUAGAUGGCCUAAUUGAACAAGACAGAAAGAGGAACAGAAAAUGGCUACGAAUGAUAAAAGGAACUAAAGUUAACACUGAAUACUAAAGUGAAGAGAGAUGAAUUCAUCAGAAACAGUAGCAAGUCUCUAUGUAAGGCAUACAGUUAGAAACAUACAUACCACACUGCAGCAGUCUGCAACACAAAUAAAUAUCUCAAACCACAUUAAAUUCUUCUACAAACUAUGUUUAGUUACACGGUCUCAUGUUUAAAGCUACGGCAGUUAAAGUAUUCAUGCUGGGAACUCAUUCUACUUUAUUUAGAUUGUGAUAUGACCCUAAAAGAGUUUGAUACUUUAUCAGCUAUAUUCCUUCCAUAUAAAAUACUAUACCAAAAUAAAUUAUUGUCUAUCUUUGAUCACAUUUGUAUUUACAUAUUUGUUUGUGUGAGAUGAGGAUACAUUUGCAUACCAUGACACAUGUGUGGAGGUCUGAGGACUGCUUUUAGUAACCAGUUCUCUCUUUCUAUCAAGUAGGCCUCAGAGAUUAAAUUCAGGUUGUCAUGCUUGGAGUGAGAUGUCUCUACCUGGUAAGGCGUCUCACCACCCCAAGAAAAGAAACUGUUAGUACACUAACAUGUUCACAGCUAAAGAACAGAAGGUAAAGAUAUUAAGAUAAAUCAUAGGAGAAAACCAAAAAGAAUAAACCAUUAAGGCUUUCUUAAGCUAUUAAAACUUUUAUCUAUACUAUAGACCCAGUUAGAAAGAACAAAGAUCCAAUCAGAGUUUUAUCAAUUUGAUAAAAGACAAAAAUAUUUCAAUCAAGAAUUCAUGAAACAUGGAGUUAUUCUUUUUAUAGCUGAAGAAACUAAUUUUUCAAAAUUUCCUUUCCAUUCAUCAUCAUGUGCUUUCAUCAAUUAAGCACAAUGAAGGGUUUACAGAAAACAUGACUCACAAGAAAGACAGAUUGAUAUGGCAUGGGUUAUAAACAACUUUUGGAAUUAUUCUUAAGCUUCUGAAAAAUUCUUUACUACCUGAGGUGCAUUUGUAGCCACUAGGAAUGCAUUUGUUCUUCCUGGGUGAUCAUAAUCGUGCAUGGCAGCUGCCACAUAUAAAGCCAUCAGUUCUAACGCAGGAAUGUUUGAAGACAGGCAGCCAUAACUCUUAUCUGGAAUACAGCAACUCUUCGAAGAAAGGUAAGCAAUCUGUCCAGAACUAAGUCUAGCAUCUGAAUCUGUGUGGCAAUAAAGAGUAAACAAACAUUAGCAUGUAACUUCCUGACAAUUAUGCUAAGAAUGGAGUUUCUCCUAAGUAGCACCAGUAUUAAUUUAUGGAAGUGGACUCAAAGGACUUAAUAUACUUUCCCAUUGUUUAUCUUGCAGGACACUGGGGAAUUCUGGCACCAGGUUGAUGCUUUUCAGACUAAUAAAUUCACAAAAACUCUAAGGGUUAAACAAAGUAAUCAUACAAAAUACUAGCACCAAGAAGAGGAAGUCGACAAAGUCCUGCCUACAACCAAGAAGCUACUUGUAAAUGAAACCUACUGGGAAAGGGAAAAUCAAUUUUCUCCAAUGGGAUAUAAGUAAGUAAGCCAAUCACACUCCAGGACAGGCCCUAUGCCCAAGGGUAGUUAACUAAAACUGAAACAGACUAUAGUGUGUGUGUGUGUGUGUGUGUGUGUGUGUGUGUGUGUGUGUGUGUGUUGUCUUGUUACCUUUUCUUUGACUAAUUUUCUUUUUUCAAAGUUUGUUUUGAUUUUCCUUUUGAAAGAGGGAAAGAAGGAACAGGUAGUUGGGUAGGUAGGGAGGUGAGGAGGAUUUGGGAGGAAGUGGGAGAGGGCAAAAAAUAUGAUCAAAAUAUAUUGAAUGAAAAAUUAAGUAUACAUAGUAGAUAUAGAAAAGGAUCUAAAUGGAUAAAACUUAGGAAUAAAAUUUGAUUUAGAAACAAUAUGAACAUGAGGGAAUUUAAUGUGUCACCAAACUAAGCUCUUCAAUAGAAAUGCUACUUUUCAAAAUUCAUCCAGAAGAACUGUUUCACUUUCUGUACCCCUUCCUCUCCUUCCUAUGACGCCCUCCCUCCUAUGACGCUCUUUACAGUGGAACAAAACAAAAAAUAUGAGCAUAUGAAGGCCUGAAAAAUUGAGAACUACUUGGGUACCACUCCUCAGUUUCCUUCUGAUAGAAACUUCUCCGUGAUUCUAGUUCCUAAUACCUCACUAUAUCUUUAUAUUAGCUAAGACUAAAUGGUCAAACUAUCAUUGUUGCUAAAGAGAUUGGAAUAAAUGACAGAAUGUAAAAUGAGUUAUAGCAGGCAGCAUAUAAAAUGCAAGAUAAGAAAUAUGAGAUGUCCUCAAUGCCUUGUCAAAGUCCAAAUGAUUUCUUCAUCAUAAUUUGAGUCAAUAUAUCACAAGGAUUUUUUAACUUAAUUUUUUAUUUUCAUAUUCAAUAUAUAUUUUCAAUUAUAUUGCAUUUUAGAAAACUGUACUUUUAACACUCCUUACAACAAUUGUUUAAAACAGUUAAAUAUACAGACAGGGAUUAUGUAGGCAAACUGUUACAAGCAAGACUUUAAUUAUGAAUAUCAUGGUCAAUACCUUGAACAUUUCCGUGUUAUAGCCACCGUGGAUUUCCCCUUAAAUUACAAACUAAAUUUUAAAAUUCAAGGACAGCAAAAUAUACCCCUAUUAAACUAAAAAAAUUAGUUAAGAAUAGUGAUACAGGCCUAUACAUGCCAGCACUUUAAAGUUCAAGUAAUAAAUAAAUCUUAUUAUUUUGGGUAAUAAGAUACUGUGUUAAACAAAUAAAACAAAACAAACAACAAAAAUUUAAAAAGUGAAACAAAACAAAAACUCAGUAAUUACUUGAAACUUAAACAGUAGGUUCUUGAUAAUAGCAGUACAUAUAGCAGAACAUAAAGAAGGCAAUGUUUUACAAAUUGUUCUGCAGAUUCAACACUAUAUAUAAUCAAAAUCCAGGCUGACUUUUUUAAUAUAAAAAUAUAAACUGAACAUACAAGUAAUGUAUAAAUACAAGAGACUGAAUGGCCAAAAUCACCUCAAAGGAAAAGAAAAUAGAACAUUACAACACUGAGAACUCAUACUUCCUAAUUUCAAAGCUUACUACACAGCUCAAGUGAUAAAGACAUGUGGUAUUAUUAUAGACAUGAACACAAAUAAAUGAAGUAAAACUAAAAUUCCAGUCUGAUGCUUCUGGUUGUUGAUUUUCAUUCAGGAUGCCAAGAGACUACUGAGAAACGGCUAUGCACUAUGUAUGACACUGGGGACUUUCUCACAUGUUAACUCAUGUUCACAGCAUUUUUAUAAGGUAAACUCACUGAUAUCAUUGCAUUUAGGAAUCCACUAUUUUUAAAAUGUUUGAAGAACUUUUUAGUAGAUGCUACUAAGAACUCAGGAUUGUAGCUCAGUAGAAUGCUUGACUAGCACCCUCAAGGUCCUCAGUUCUUUUCCUGACAAUACAAGAGAGGGGAAGGGGAAGAGGGAGGGAGAGGGAGAGGUAGAGGAGAGGAGAGAGAGAGAGAGAGAGGCUACUGAGACAACUGGAUAUUGACAUAUAAAAUAAUAUUGUCCUCUUUGUUAUACCACAUCUCAGAAUUACAAAUAGAUCAAAAAGAAGUAUGAAAUGCGGGCUGGAGAGAUGGCUCAGCGGUUAAGAGCACCCGACUGCUCUUCCAGAGGUCCUGAGUUCAAUUCCCAGCAACCACAUGGUGGCUCACAACCAUCUGUAAAGAGAUCCAAUGCCCUCUUCUGGUGUAUCUGAAGACAGCUACAGUGUACUUAUAUAUAAUAAAUGAAUUAAUCUUUUAAAAAAAGAAUUAUGAAGUGCUUUAAAGAAAAUAUAUACCCACAUGAUCUUAAGUUAAGGAAAGACUCCCAAAAUAAGACACAAAAAAUCAUGUGCAUUUCGGGCAUAGGAAAAAAUACCAUAUAUUGGUCACUGGCUCAGAAAUCAAACCAUAUCUUAUGUGACAGCCCUCUAAUUCCAAAACAAUGUUUAUAUCCAACAAGUGCCACAUUGGAGUUUGUAAUGUGCCAUCACAUCAUUAACUCAGUCUGGCUGUGUGGUGGUAUGAUUUUGGAGAGAUCAAUAAUUUCUAUGGACAUAAGCUCCUUAAGAUGGCUUUUGUUUUAUAUAGGAAAAUGAGUUAUUUGACCUGGCGUAGUACUGUCUAUAAUAACAUAAUAAAUAAAGCACCUAACAAACUCAUUAAUGAUGACAGUGAAGGCAACUCUGUAUCUGAGAAAAGAAUGCUUUGUCAGCCUGGUGCAGUAGUACACGACUUUAAUCCCAGCACUUUGGAGGCAGAACCAGCCCAGUCAAUAGAGAGUUCCAAGACUGACAGGGCUACAAAGAAACCCUGUCUCAAACACAAACAAAAAACUAAUCAAACAAACAAACAACAAAAGAAUGCUUUAUCUUCCACAAAGAAAGAACCCACUUUAAUAAACCUACCACUAGACAUGGCUGGAUCCCCCAGGGAAUGGUGUCAAAUUGAGGGCUUAUCUUUGGUCUCUGUUAUUAGCAUGGUGAGUAUUCAGCAGAGAACUGAGCCAAGCCAACGUCAAUAAGAAAAAGCCCAGGACAUUGAGGCUGUACACAUACAUGCUUUACUCUUACUAUAUCUGCUACUAUAUUUAUAAGCCUACUGAAUGAGAACUGGAGCACAAAAGGGGAGGGAUUGAUAAUUAACAUGGGAAGACAUUACUUUGUCCAGCUGAUUACUGAAAACCUCCACAGCAAAUAAUGUUAGGUAAUUUUGUCAAUUUUCUCAUGGAGAAGAGACAGUUUGCUACCUGCUCACAUAGAAAGUCAAUAUCCCCCAUUCAAUACCUCCCCUACAACUCCUUGCUAAUUUCUAAUCUUCUCUAUCUAACAAUGACUUCAGAUCCUUUCUCUAAACUUUUCUUUUUAUUGACCAAAUGAACAAGAGUCUCUUCUUAAUGCUGUAUUCACUGGUAAUUUUAUUGUUCCCUACUAUCCAAUCAACGGACUCCCUUGUCUGAGCCUAUAAAGUUAUACAUAUCUAUUUUGAGAAAGCAGACAAAGAUCCAUCUGUAAGCCUAGCCUUUUGGCCCCCUUCAGUUUGCUGGAACCAGCUUUCCUAUGAGGCUAUAAAAAGGUAUAAAGAAUGAAAGGACCAGAGAGUCCUAAGUAAUUAUCAGCACAUCAUUUAGUAACCUAGUUUCUAUGGCCAUUUUUCAAAAUGCACCAGAAUACAGUAAUACUCUAUGAACAAAAAGAGAAGAGCUAUCUGAGGAAGACAGCUUGAUUUUAUCUAAAAAGUUAUAGAUUUAUAUAUUAUAAUUCCCAUUCAGUGCUCUACAGAGGCUCCAUAAAAGAAACCUAUCUGCAAAAGAUGCUAUGAGCACAGGUAGAUUGGCCAGUCAUCUUGAACUGCAACUUACACAAGUGGAAACUAUUUCACGUAAGUCCUCAUACUCUGGGUAUCACAUAAAAUCCAUCUCCUUAAGUGUUAAAGGACUGUGGUAUUGGGAUGGAAUUAAUAUUCAGAUGUGGUAAAUUUGCCAUCAGAACUCAAAGAUCCUUCUAGGUACUGAUUUUCAAAUUCAUCAGCUGUCCACCAUUUUGCAGGCAAAAUCUCAACUGAGUUUAGAGCCCUCUCUAGAAAACUCUGCUGAGUAGAGAGACAAUUUCUCUCUUUCUCACCUCUGUCUCUCUCUCUCUUAUCCUCUCUUGGUCAAUCUGUCUUUCUAGCAUCCGAACUAACCCUUAUUGAGCAUCUAAGAUAUUCAUUGCUUUAUUUGACAGACAGAGAGAGAGAGAGAAAGAGAGAGAGAGAGAGAGAGAGAGAGAGAGAGAGAGAGAGAGAGAGUGUGUGUGUGUGUGUGUAUGUAUGUAUGUAUGUAUGAAUGUACUCACAAGUUCUGGCAAGGCCAAAAAAACUCAAAAGGUGCCUUGGAGCUGGAUUGUGAGCCCCCCAACAAGAGUGCUAAAAAUGAACCUGAAGAACAGCAGGCGCUCUUAACUGUGAGUUCUCCAGCACACAUGCAUGACUUCUUAGUCAGCAGGAGCUACUAAACAUUAUGUCCCCAGUGUUACAAGUAAGAAUGUGCAACUCUGUAUUCCACACGAAAUCUACUCUGGUGUAUCUAUUUUACUAGAAUAUUUCAUGACCAUAAGUUCAAGUAAGAGACACAGGAACUUUAUAAUACAUGAAGCUAAUUUAAACAGUGGUAUUUAUGAUGGAUAGUAUUAACUUGUUGAAACACAAUUUACAAUGUUUGUAAAUAUUACAUAAAUACCCCUAUGAAAAUAUUAACUGUAUCCCUUUUGUUUGGUAUUAUUGUAUAUUUUAAAUACACAUAAUAGACCUGAAACAAAAAGUAUCAAAAUAUCCAAGAUAAUAUCUAUCUCAGUACACUGAGAAGAGAGGUAACAUGCUACAUACUGGAUCAUGAUCUAGAUCUUAAGAUGCUAACAAGUUUAAAAUUUUAUGUCAUGUUAAGCAUUGUAACUUACACAAUCCUUUAUGUGUACCAAACCUUAAUUAAAGAAAUUUUUAGAGAUUAGAUGUACUUAUAUAAGACAACUUAAUUUAUUAUUUCUAGUUACAUAACUAAAAUAAAUAUUUGUAGGAGGAAGUACCUGCUUUGGUUUCUGUUUCAUGGUUAUUAUGGAGCUGCUGUAAGCCAGGAAUUGGUCGUGUUGUCAAAUACCAAACAGCAUGUAGGACAUCUGUGGCAUGCACACGAUUGUGAUCUGAAGUUAACAAAAUACUUGAUUAUAGCAUCAUUCUGUUUAGGUUUGGCAUAAGACAUUUGAAAGUGAAGAAAAAUUUCUAGUUAUACUAUAUCCCAACAAGUAAGGUAUUUCACACAAUUUUAUUUUAAGAUAUUCUGAUAUAUUAAAAGUACUCUUUUAAUAUAAAAAAGGUACUCUUUUCAAAUAAAGUACAAAAACAUAGUAAAGGCCUAAAGAAUAUACAGGAAGACAAAGAUAACUGAAAGGUAUUGAAAAAUUAUUGAGAUCUCUAUUGUGAUUAUUUUAUAAUGUGGUAUCUGGAUUAUAGAGACACAAUAUAGAAUAGUUUGGGUAACAGAAAAGAUGACCCAAUGGGUAAAAAUGAAGAUCUGAAUUCAGAUUCUGUACCCAAAUGGAAAGCAGGGCAUAAUCAUAUAUACACUGCAAUCCCAGUGCUGGGAGGGGCUGCUGCAGGGGGACCUGAAACAAGAAGAUAAUUGGAGCUUCCCUGUCUGCAGCAUAGAUACAGGUUCAGUAAGAGACCCUGUUUCCAGGAGCGUGAUACAGAGGGCACCCAAAGUCAUCCUCAGUCUCUCUUUGAGUACAACGGUGGUGCACUUGUACACACAUGCGCGCACGCGCGCACACACACAUACACACACACACAAAUAUUUUGCUCACUGAAGAGUUAUAUAGUCUAUAUACCUAUGUUUUGGGCCAAAAAGUGAGAAAUACUAAUUUCUUCGGUUUCCUAUGAAGACAAAUGGAAAUGAAAGCUUGACACACUUUAAACUAUAAAGUAGUAUUAUUAUGCUAAUUUAGGAAUAAUUUACAUUUUAUGUGUUCACAAGGAGGGAAACUACAUAAAAAAUCAUAUAUUUCAUAUUAGAAAUUCAAAUUACAUUAGUAUAAAAAUUAAAAAUCAUUAAAAAAGUCAUUAUGAAAUUUAAAAUAGAAAAUUGUGUGUAAGUGAACAAUUUUCUGAAAUUGUUGAUUUAACAUUCAUAAAUACAAGGCAUACAAGUAAGUGAUAUACUGUACACACACACACACACACACACACACACACACACACACACACACACACAUACACAUACAUACAUACACCGGGCUUGUUCAGUCAGCGAAGUAUUUAUUUUGCAACCACAAAGACUUUUAAUUUGAGCCCUAGAAUUCAGAUUAAAGAGAAGAAAAAAAGCCAGGCCCAGUGGUGUAUACUUGCAAAUCCAAUACUGGGACAGACAGGGACAGAAAAAUCCUUGGGACUCACUGGCUAGCUAGACUGGCCUAUUUGCUGAGCUCCAGGAAAAAGUAAACCUCAGUUAAUUUGUCCUACAUAUGCAUGUACACACCUAUAACACAAGUGCACGUACAUACAUACACACAAAAUGAUAGGUACUACACUACAUUUAAGUGAAGAAAACUGAUAGAUAUAUAUCGAAUUAUGAUCCAUUUUAUAAAAAGAUUAAUAAGGAAGGCUUGGAGGGCAUAUAUCAAAAUUAACAAGUCAGUUAACACCAACUAAUAGGAAAUAAAUAUUCUUUUAAAAUAUCUAUUUGAAAAUUUCUCAAAUGUGUAUUUCUAAAAUUAUUUCAGGACUUAUCUAAAAAAAGAGACAUACCUGUUUAGAACUUAAACAGGUAUGCAAAUACUCACAUGGAAUAUCUCGGUAGCCAUUUUCUAGUGCACGAAAAUAAUUCAUAAAUUCUUGAGUGGGAAUUUUAAAUGUUUCCAAUAAACCAGUAUCUUGAAAUAAAGUAUACAUAACCUAAGUGUAAAAUAAAAUGAAGUUCACUGUAAAAAUCAGAAUGUCUCUCUGUAGCUCAGUUUAUGGUAAUUUAGAAAUAUGACCAUGCAUGUAUUUUAUUUUUCUCAUGGUAUUGGGAUUGAAUUCCAGGCCUCCCAAUGUUAGAUAAAAAGUCUAUUUACUGAGUCAUGAGACCUUCUUGGUUUUUAGGGCAGAGUCUCUUUUAGUUGUCUAAGCUGGCCUUGAACUUGACAUCCUCCUGCUUCAGCUUCUCAAAUAACUGGGAUUACAGACUAUGGCACCAAGCCCACCAUACUGAUUUAAUUUUACCUGUGUUUGGGAUGAGGGUAUAUGUCCAGGUUCCUGAGGAGUUCAGAAAAGGUUGUGGGAUUCCCUCGAGCUGAUGUUACAGCAACUUCUGAGUCACCUGACAUGGGCACUGGGAUCUAAACUCAGGUCCUCUGGAAAAGCAGCAAGUGCUCAUAAUUCCUGAACCAUCUCUCCAAAUCUCUCAGUGUAUUUCUUUAAGUUUGUUCAUUAUUAACUUCUCAAAAAAUAUUUUCCCAAAAAGUAACAUUAAGUAUCCCUUUAUGUUUUGUAUCUCAUAGAAAAGACAUUAAAAGAAUUAAUGAGAUUCAUAUUUUAACUUUUAUUUGCCUGAUGUAACUGUUAUCUUGGAGGUUUACCACUGAAUGAAGUUUCUAUCUAGUUCUGAACUCUGGCUGGCUGGUUCAAACUCUUCUCCAAGCUGACUGAUUCACUCUGGCUUCUCUCAACUUCUCAUUAAAUUGCUCUGCUUGGCCUCAAACUAACUCUGGCAAUUUGUUUUAGUCUUAUGGCUCCCUCUUAUUCUCUGGCCUCAGCUGCCUCACUGACCUGUACUGAACUGCAUGAACUCACUAGCUGCAUGAACUACACUCACCACACUCCACUCACUGCACUGCACAAACUGCACCCACCACAGUGCACUCAUCUCACUCCACUCGGUGCACAGCACUCAGCGUACUGCACUCAGUGCACUCCACUGCACUUGCUACACUGCCCUCACUGCACCACACUCACUGUUCCACCCUCACUGCAUUGCACUCAAUGCACUGUACUCACUACACUACACUCACUGUACUGCAUUAACUGACUGCACUGUGCUCACUACACUCACUCACAACUCACUGACAAAGUGACUGACCUGCACCAAACACAAUUCCACUCAACUGAACUGAACUGACUCCCAACAGACUCAACUUCCAACUCACUGAUGAACUCACUGAAUGACCUUCACUGUCCCAGCACUGCUCUUAAAUAGCUUUUCUCUUGAAAGUUGGGCAUCAUCUAUCUCUGACUCAUUCGUCACUUUGUCUGCCCUUCAAUUAGACUGAAGGUGUAUACUAAAGACAUGUCUGCAUUUCAGCCAGCUUGUACAGACCAAGAAGUUCUUUGGAUGUGAUCAGAGCAGCCAUGUUGGAGAAUUAAAAUUGUUCUAUAUAGGAAGGUCAAUUGUUAUACAGAAUGAUUAGGUAGAACUCUGACUCUUGGUCUAUUUAUGAAAUGAACUAGUCACCCAAGCUCUAGGUAAGAAAGGUAAAAAAAAAUACUAUUCACAUUUUAGUAGUUAGAACUAAAUCAUCUUUCAGGUCCUUUUAAAUCUCAAGAAUCAAGAAAAAGUAAAUCUUUAUUAUUAUGUUAGCUGAGCUUAAAUCUCAUUAAUAUACUCGAAUUAAUGAUUUUCAUAUGUGUUUUAUAUUCUAUGCUAUUAUUGAUAUACAAAGUACAUUUGAUAUAUAUAUAAACAUAUAUGAAAAUAAUAGCAUAGAAUAUAAAACACAUGUUUAUCAUGUACAUUUAACUGUAUGUUUUGAAGGCUACUUGAAAGAUAAAUUUAUUGACAAUGCCAUUUCUGAACUUGUACUUAAACCGAUAAAAUUAUUUAGAUUUUACUUUUAUCAAUAGCUGAAAAAAUAUAGUACUAAAGUAGAGAUAUGAAGACAAACCUGGCUGAGAAUCCUUCCUGAUUUUUCUCCCAUUUUUUCUACAAGCUCAAAAAUCUGAAAGUUCCAGUUGCUCAUCUUUUCUAUUAAUGAAUCAUAAUCUUCCACUAACAUCGGGUCCAAUAACACUUCCUGGUCAAUCUGAACAAAGGAGAAAAAACAACUUUACUUUUUACAAAUAUUUCUUCUUCAGUGAACUUAAGCCAUAUAUUGUCUUCAAACCAAUACAUCUAAAAUAUUAUCAUUUUAAUAUAUAGUCAGUAUAAAAGUAUUUUUAAAAAAUUAGUAUUAUGUGUGAGAGCAUACAUGUUUUUAAAUCCAUAUCUAAAUGAAAAUGCUUAAGGCACUAACAGUAGUUAGCAAUCAUUUCUGUAGUGGUUUUCCCAAAUAUUCUUUUAUCUUGUCUUCUAUUUAUUCUCUUUGUUAAAUGCCAUAUAAAUAUUUUAAACACAUCUUACCAUCAGGAGGUUGAUGAUAUAAUCAUUAUCAUAUAUAUUAUUAAUAUAUAAUUAAGCUUAGCUUCAAAUGACUACAUAAAUCUAAAAUCCAUUAUUUUCAUCUUAAACAUUAUAUAUACCAAAGCAAAAGGAAAAAAACCUUUAUCUCAGAACAGUGGUACUUCUUACUAGAGUAGUAGCCCCAAAUAAAGAAUAGGAUUUUUUUCCUACAAAUUUCAAUACUGAACUAGAGAAAAAUGGUAAUCAUUCUGUUUUUAAUAUUUUGUGUGUGUGCAUUCACACAUGUGACAGUGUGUCUGUGAACGUCAAAGGAUAAUUUUUUGGUGUUAUAGUUCUCUCCUUCCACCAUGUGGAUUCAGGGAUCAAACUCAGAUCACCAGGCUUGUCAGCAAGCACCUUUACCAACUCAACUUGCUAGUCUGUUAAAUAAUUAUUCUCUUCAUUUUUAAUAACUAUGUACAUGUCUCUGCAUUUUAAAAAUAUAAUAACAGAAUAAAAUAUAUCUACUAUAAAAUUAUAUAAAAUUUUCAUAAAAACAUAAAUCUUUCUGUUCACUGGUAAUUGACUUAGAUCUGUUAUUAAUAACCCAAGCACUAUUCCAUAAAUUGUGAUUUCUCAGUAAAAAAAAUUAGAAUUUCAUUAAACUGGUAAUUAUGCUGUUUAACAAUAAUGAAGCAGUGCUAACGUGUCAUACUUCACUCUAACAUAAUGAUAUUCAAAGUGUCUUUUACAUUCGGUUGCUGGGCCUCUUCCAUUAGGUGAUCAUCACCUUCCAAAAAUAAUUCCCUGCAGUCUUCCUUCACUGUCUCUUCUUCUUGAGUUUCCACAAUGUUCAAUCGUUCUUUUGAGAAAACAGUGCUGUCUUCUUCACCUUUCAAAAAUAUAUAUAGUAAUAAAUAGAAAUAAGAUGUGCCUUAAACAUGUAGCUUAUUACAAAACCUGGUCGCUGAUGUAAAGCUGUUUUGAUAGAGUGAACCAUACUCCAGCUCAGGUUAAAGCAUUUAUUCACACCAGACUCUAUCUUGCUGACUCUGUGUACUGGGGUCUUAAGCUCAGACAACACAAACAUUUCACAUUUAUGCAUCGAUGACAGGAAGGGGUAGAUAUCUCUAUAAAAGUGAGAAACAAAAGGAUAGUCCCUGUCAACACACUUCUUGCCAAUUUGGUAUAAAUAAUCCUCACAUGAGAUUAUGAAACAAAACCUCUCAAUUCAUAAUUAUAUGUGCACACAAUUAAGAAAUAUGUAAAAUUUCAACCACAAAAUGACAAAUUCUGAGUUAUUUCUCUGUUUAUUUGUUUAAUAAUAUUCUUUUUUCAAGUUACAUGGAAAAGCAGAGUAACACCAGUAGCCAAAUAGUAUUUAUUCAUAUGUUUAAAACAUUUUUUGUUUUAUUUAUAAUACUCUAAACAGGAAAUUUUCCUGUGAGAGAUUCAUACGCUAGUAAGCAACAAGAAUAAAUGUAAUUACAAUGUGAGUGAGUUUGUAAACACAAAAAUGAUCAAUGAAGAAAGGCAGGGAGAAAGUCCACAUCCUGCUGUUCUCCUUAUGAAAUGUUCUUUUAAAAAGUCUCAAACCUGUUACUUCACCCAGUGAGCUGGCCACGCCUGUCACACAGCCUGGCCAUCCGAGUUCAAUCAGGCAUACAAACCCAUAUACAGAUGGAAAGAGAAAACCGACUCAGCGUUGUCUGAUCCCCACAUGCACACCAUGGUAUGAAGGGCCCCCCACCCUCAACCUGCCAUCAUUCACAAACACAAUCCAUUUUAAAAGUUUUAUGAUAUGCAUGAGUGGUAUACACAAGCACUGAAAGACAGGGAAAUCAUUUACCUUAGGGGCACAGCUGCAAGGGUGCAUAAAGGGAAAUUUUAAGAUAACAUUUAGUUUCUAGAUCUGGGUACAGACUGUACAAUGUAUAUAAUAUUCAUCAAGCUUUAAACUUAGGUUCUGUAUGUUCUUCAACAAACAGGAUUUUAAAACCUUUGUUCUGUUUAUUUACUGAGAUGGCAUCUCACUAAAUUGCCCAGUCCCCUCGACAACCAAUCCCCUCACCUCAACCACACAAUAGGCCUGGCAAGUUUUUUAAAAAUAAACCUAGGCUUUUUGUUUGUUUUUUUGUGUGUAUUGGAGGAAAUGUCCUGUGUGUCUGUGUGUGUGUGUGUGUGUGUGUGUGUGUGUGUGUGUGCACAUGCACAUGUGUGCACAGGUACACACAUGGCCUAGCCUAGAACUCUAAAUUUGUGGCUCAACCUGGGCCUUGAACUCACAGCAAGCCUCAUGUUUCACUCUUCCAAGUGCUGCAGUUACAGACAUGAGAUAGUAUGCUGCCUCUUUUGAGUUCUUGAGUGUCCUCACUAAGCAGGGCAGUGUCCCAUGCCUAUAAUCCUAGCAACCAAGGAAUCUGAUCACUAAGUAGAAGCCAUCAUGGACAACUUAAAGAGCUACUACUCAUAAAGGUUAAAAAAAAGAUAAUAAAUGUAAUUACUGACAUUAAACUUCAGAAGUAGGUUCAAAACCUGAGGUUUGUACUUAAACUCAGUGGCAAGAGUUCUCUUCACUAGAAAAUGUUGACAGUAACUAAACCAACUUACUAGACCUUAAACAUAAAAUGUGAUUUAAAGAUUUAAUCAAUUCUUUGCCUAACAUACAGGAAUUACAGCAAACAUUAAGGUUAGAAAGUACUAUUGUUUAUAAAAUAUUAUUUUCCAAAUAAAAUACUCAUUUUAUAAAAUAAAACUUUGAAUGAAGUGGUGCUUCUUUAUCUGAAGCCCCACUUUCCAGUGAAAAUAGGAGCCGGUGGACCUGAGCCAGCCAGAGAAGGUUGUUAACAGACACCAGGAGAUGAACUGGGAUGGCAGAGUGAGAAGACAAGACAGCUGGCGAGAGCUGAGCAAAGAGGCUAGCACCACUGUUUACAGUGUGGGGCCACUAGUACUGGGAAAACUGGGAAAAGGGACUGUUUAAGCAGACUGUUGGAGAACUGAGGGAGGAAUGGUGGGCAGAAGGCUUUGAAGGGGCUGGGCUGGAAAAUGGGAGAAGGGCUGACCUGGAAUUAAGAGAACUGGUUACUGUUUAUAAGAAAAGGAGACAUUAAAAGAAACAUUCAAGAAAACAACACAUAUUUUACAUCUCUCUGUUAACCUGUUGCCUCUAAAAGACAAAGGGUACAAGGGGCUAUCUUCAGAUGUCUACCUACUAGGUAGUCCACUAAGCUCCCAACUCAUGGUUAAACACAUACACCUGCUUAGACUCAGUGGGUCACAAAACACAGACAUAACAACUGGGAAAGGGAUCUAUGUGGAGGAACAAGACGGAUGAGAGGAGGUAAAUGGGUGUAGGGUUAGUGUAAUCUAUUAUGUGUGUGUAUGAAACUGACAAAGGAUAAAUCUAAUUUAAAAAUCACUGAUAUUUCAUGUGUAUUACUGAUUUUUUUAAUGAUUUAAACAAAUGAAAAUUCUGGGUCCUUUCUUGGCAAGAGUGCCUAACUUGGAUUUUAUGAUGGAUGCCUGUUGGCCUUCCCAUAGACCAAAUUUGUUGGUUAAAAUCUGAAAAAGGAGGAAAUGGAAACUUGCAGUCUGCAAUGUCACUCCAUAUUCUCUUUGAGCAAUCAUGAGACUUCUUGAGAGUCAAUGGUAUUAAUAAAUAAGCUAUUGUAAUGCAUUUUAGAAAUCUGUGGGAUAGAAGUGUUGUAAUCCUCUUUAGAGAAGAAAUUGCUUCAUCUGUAAUUGAACCGGUAAUAGCCAAAAAUUGGAAACAACUUACUAGAUAUCCCCAAAAUAGAAGAAUGGAUAAAGAAAGUUUGGUACAUUUACACAAUAUAGUAUUACUCAGCCACUUUAAAAAAAGGAAAUCAUGAAAUUUGGAGGUAAAUAGAUGUAACUAGAAAACAAAUCAUCCUGAGUGAGAAAUCCUAGACCCAGAAAGACAAAAAUUUGCUGAUCUGUGGAUAUCAGCUGUUUUGACAUGAUAACCAAGCUAUAAUCCACAGAACCACAAAGGUUCUAUGUAAAGGACUAAGGGUUACAGAGAGAUCUCAAUAGAGAAGGAAAAUAGAAUAGAUAGUAAUGAGUGGAUGGGAGUUAAAACAGAAGGAACCAGUGGGGAGCUGGAUGGGAGAGGUGGUGUGGAGAGAUAGGAGGAGGGAGGGAAUAUGAGGAGAGACAGCUAAGAUUAAGGACCAUUUAUGGAAACCAAAUACAGUAGAAGCUUGCUUAGAACAUAUACAUAUAUACGUAAGUGAAAUUGCCAAAUAAUGGGGAAGACAAAGUCCCAAUCAGCCAUUUCUUGUCACCAAGUGAAGUUUCCACUGCUGAGAUUGCAUUACAUAUAAUUGCUGUUGGCCACAGGGGUCUCAUGAGAAUCCCCAAACAUCCCAGGCCAAGACUAUAUAUUUGCUCUUCACAUAUUAACAUAAGGCCCUAUUGUUGUAGACAACACCUACACAAUUCAUUGAAUAUGGAGAAGUCAAGCCAGUGCCUUCAUAGAGCCUUCAACCCCUAUGAGUUAGCGUCUUUGUACAGGAGAGAUUUUUGUGUGCUACCAAAGAACUAUAGAGAACUUUAAGAGCUACAGAAAACUAUAAAAACCAAUCCUGCCACAAACCUUUGGAUGGGCAAUGGUGUUCUGCCUGCAAGGCAUGCUACAGUGAUCAUGUCACAAGCUGUGGGAGUAACCAAACAGUAACUGAUUUGACUUAAAGCCCACUCCACUAGAUGGAACCUAUCCUCAAACUGCUUGGGGAACCAAGAACCAAGAACUAGAUAGCCCAGGGAAUUAGAAGAAAAUCAUGAAGUACUCUUCUUUUUAAAAAACUGUAGCAAUAAGAUGACUCCUAAUUGCAUUCUGUAUAUACAGAUUAAUGCCUUACUCAACUCAAUCAUCAGAGAAGCUUCUUCUUGUAACAGAAGGGACAAAUACAGAGACCCACAGUCAGACAUUAUGCAAAAGGGGAGAGGUCUUGGAACACUCAGCCCUAAAUGGAUGUCUCCAUCAAAUCCCUUUCCUCAAGGAACCCCAUAGAAGAGAAGGCAGAAGGAGUUUAAGAGCCAGAGGGACUGAACAAAACAAGACCAUUUAAAUAACAUCAUCAGAGCUCUUAUGAACUCACAGCAAUUGAGGUGCCAUGCAUAGGACCUGCAUGGAUGUGCACCAGGCACUCUGCGGCCUCUGUGUAUUUAUUAUGGAUACCAGUUUAAUGAUUUUGUCAGAUUCCUGGGUCAGCUAAGAAGUGGGUCUCUGAUUCUUGUGUCUUGUCCAACUCUGAUGUGCUAGUUUUUGUUUUACCAUAUCAUUAUCAUAUCAUAUUAUGAUCUCUUAGACUUUUUUUAAAUAAUGAGAGACAGAAAAGGACUGAAUCCAGAUGGGAAGAAGGUGGGCAGCAACUGGGAGUAGUAGAGAAAGGGGAACCAUAAUCAGGAUAUAUAUUAUUUGAGAUUUUAAAAAUCUUUUUAAUAAAAGAAUAAAUAAUUUUUAAGAAUUUCAACUUACUCAGAUAAAAUUAAAAGUCCUCUAAUCUCACAAAACAUGAAAAUUUACAGCAUAAAAUAUUUAGCCAUUUGAAGUUCAAGAUAAAAGAAAUAUAUUUUUUUAAGAUUUAUUUAUUAUAUAUAAGUACACUGUAGCUGUCUUCAGACACACCAGGAGAGGGCAACAGAUCUCAUUACAGAUGAUUGUGAGCCACCAUGUGGUUGCUGGGAUUUGAACUCAGGACCUCUGGAAGGGCAGUCAGUGCUCUUAACCACUGAGCCAUCUCUCUAGUGACUGGGUUUUUGACUGAGUUUCUAGAACAUAAACCACCCUGUACUCUGGUGGGAAACAGAAAUUACUCUAUAUGUUGAAUAUAAAAUUCAUGAACAUCUGAAGCCUGCUAACUACAGAUAUAAUGCCAUAAUAAGCAAGAAUUUCAAAAAAGUCAGCCUGGUAACACUUCACAUGAUUGCUGCCUACCCCGGUCACAUGUACUCAAGUAGGAAUCUCUCCUCUAAGACCAAUCAUUCCACAGAACUACGAAAAAUAGUAAAACAAUUAUUUCCUAAAAGCUGUAUUAAGUGUAAUUGCAUGCAUUUAAAACCCACCACAUCAGAUGAGGACACUAUAGCAGAAUAUCUCAUAUUGGUGGCUUAUGAACAACAGUUUUAUUUCUCACAGUGUAGAGGUAAGAGUAUCAGUGCAGUGGUAUUCUGGUAAGGUUCUCAAGUUUCAGAAGGCCAGUUGCACACAUAGUAGAAAAGAAAGCUACAAAGUUCUAGUGAGCCCCCUCUAAAGGAAAUAAUCUCACAUUCACCGUCUUAUUACCUCCCAAGGGCCCCAACACAUUCAGGUGUUAACACCUGAAUUUGGGUGAAUAAAAGAAAAUUCAGCUUGUAUACUCAAGUAUACAAAUAAACGUGUAUAGUAAAUGUAAGGUUACACAACGAUCAUGUUAAUCUACUUUUAGAACAUUCUCACCAUCUACAAAACAUCCCUCAUGCAUGUUUGUUGUUAAUCUCCACCAUGCUUUUAGAUCCCAACUGUUCUGAGAUUGCAUUUAUUGCCCUUUGAGAAUUUCUUGUAGAUGUAAUAAUAUAAUAUUUUAUUAUAUGUGAAUAUUAUGAAUGUAUAAAAUGUAAAUAUUUUGAGCCUGGCUUCUUUCACUUAAUAUAUUAUUUAUGUUGUUGAACCAUAUAUCAAAAGUCCAUUACUGUAACUGCUAUACACAAUUUACAGAAGUCAUAUACCUCUAGCGUUUAUUGACUCAGAAGCUGGAGUUUGUAUUGCUCCCCCGCCAGCACUAUGACUAAGGAUGCAUUAAGUGUGUUUUCCUGGUAUUCACUGGACUGCAGUAUUGCUGAGUCAGGUAAAUCUACAUGUAACAAUGGGUACUGAACUAGGACCUUACUGGUGGUGGUAGGUAAGAGCUCUCCCACUGAGCUAUAUCCUCAGCCCCCUUUUUAAAUUUUAAGGCAGAGGGCUAGAGAGAUGGUUCAGCAGUUAACAGUACUGACUAUUCUUCCAGAGGAACUGGGUUCAAUUUCUAGCACCCAUACGGUGGCUCAUGGUGGUUAUCUGUAACAAAACUUCCAAGGAAUCUAACGCCUCCUUCUGGCUUCCGUAGGCAAUGAAUGCACGCAGUGCACAGACAGACAUACAUGCAGGCAAAACAUAGACACAUACAUAAAUUUUUAAAAGUUGGAAGUUUCAAACAGGUCUCAUUAAGUUGCAGAGGAUGCCUUGAGUAUAUUGUGUAACUAGACUGGCCUUCACUCUGUUGCCCAAGUAGGCUGUGUACUUGCCUCCUGAGUAGCUAUCAAAGCCUGCCCCAACAGGUUUAACUAAUUUGCUUUUUCUUUCUAUCACAGGUGGUAAAAUUUGUACUUGAAAAUGAUUUUUUUCCAAAAUCUCCUUUUUAAAUAAAAUUUAAGAACUCUAGGAAUGUAGCUCAGUGGUAGAGUCCUUGUCAAGUAUUCACAGGGCUCUCAGUUCAAAUCACAGCAACAUCAAAAAUAAGUUAAAUAUAAUAAAAAAUUUAAAAACUAUUAACUAGCCCUUUCCCAUUAUGGAUGUUAGCUGUAAAUAUACCUUAUAUCAAGCUGAGGUACUAUCUAGCUGUUACAUGUCCUGAUUUGGCCACAAACAAAAUAGUUAUUGCUUCUUUUCUCUUAAGACUAUCAUGUGAUUUGGUGUAUAUUAUUUGUUAAACUUGUCCCAUGAUUCUUGCAUUUGGAAUACCAUGUGACCAGAGGGAACUUUUUACAUUUCUAAAUUCAGUCUGCUCAUAUUUUGUGACCACAGGGAACUUUUUACAUUUCUAAAUUCAGUCUGCUCAUAUUUUGUUAAGAAUACUUCUGUCUCUGCACAUAAACAGAUAUCAGCCUGCUGCCUGUUCUUGUGAUGACUCUAUGUGGGUGUAGCAUUGGAGUAAUGCAAGUCAAAUGGGUAAGCUGCAAGGUUGUACUGCCUUUGUUUUGGGAAACGUGUGUAUAAAGGAUUAGUCAGUCUUCUUUUAAACAACCCUAUCUGGUAUAAAUUAUAUAAACAAAUAUUUAUUUUUAAAAACCUGUUAAGCAGUAUACAUUUAAAAGUGAUUUUUAUAUUCUAGGAAGGAUUGAUAAGAGCCUAUUUCUCUGUUACCCUUUUAGAGUUUAUGCAUUACAUUUAACAAUUUUUUUUUAAAUUAUGGAAUAGCUAAAAUUUCAUCAAUAGCAUUUCUUGUCUGAGGAUAUAAAUCGCUUCAUAAUGACACUAAUCAUUUCUCUCAAUACCAUAAAACUGCACAAUCCCUUUCAAACAUAAAUCAUGUGGUACAGGUUUCAACAUUUCAGCACCUGUCACUUGUAAGUCAUUCUUAGUAAUUCCUGGAGAACAAGAGAAAACCACUGUACUAUUCAACGUGGAGAAGUGGGAGCUGUGAUGUAAUCAGUGUGGAGCAUUCACUCAGCACAUAUGACUCUCUUGAGUAUCACCCCAGCACCACAGAAAAGAAAAACCCAGAAAUGUACAACUAGGUAAAUGGAUGUUUAAAAAAGCACUGUAAAACUAACCUUGAACUCAAAAUACAUAGAACUGACGCACUCUCACCUGAUUUUUCAUUGUGGUGGUCUGUACCAUCAGGUUCACAUGUCGAAACAUACUUGAGUAUUUGGUGUCCACAGCUUAUAGAAUAAAACAGAUAUAUAUAUGAUAAAGGAAGCUUUGUUUUAUUUUACCUAAACAUAACUAGGAAAUCUGCCUGAUUUUUGAAUGAGAGCUCAACUGUAACACAUCCUAAGACACAAAUCUGUGCGUACACCUGAAUGAUACCAACUAGGAAACUUCUGUGUCCUUCAAGGAAACAACAUACUUUUGAAAGUCAGUAGUGGAGUCUAAGUUAAAAUUAGAAACCUGCAUGUCUAUCAAAAACAAAAUAAGGGGCUGGGGAUUUAGCUCAGUGGUAGAGCGCUUGACUAGGAAGCGCAAGGCCCUGGGUUCGGUCCCCAGCUCCGAAAAAAAAGAACCAAAAAAAAAAAAAAAAAAAACAAAA